CUGUGAUCUCCAAGAGGCAAUGGGCAAUUUCUGCGCUGUCUUUGGAGCAACAUUCUCAAGGCCAGGCCACUGGACAGAACUGGAAGGUGGAUCAUUCGGGGACUUCUUAUGGGAGAACCUUUGUGAGGCAGUCAGUCGAUCAACAGAUGCUUUCCGAGCGCCUCUAGGGUGCGGUGGAACGCGGCAAUCUGGAAGGACGCUUCAGAACCGGUUGCCAUUUCAUCCGAGUACCUCCAUCAUAAUUGGCUGAAAAUCCUUGAAACGCUGAAAUGCAGCUAAACGAGAAAAAUACGUCCAGAAUAGAGGGCUGCUGCUGGCCUUCAACGAGCAGCAGCCGGAGCUCCACAUCUCCUCUCUUGAUGCAAAACUCAAACCCAGAAAGCAAAAUUCAUUCUUCGUGGAAAUACAAUGAAUGAAUCCGUUUUUCUUGUAGUAUUACGAAAUAAAUACAUGUCGAUUGUAGAAACUUUAGAAUAAAUACGUAAGCCAAAAGAAGGAGGAGGAAGAGGAGGGGAAGAGAUCACAAAG
rnacentral:lncRNA from 1 species